UAGUCCACGCCGUAAACGAUGGUUACUAGCUGUUCGGACUUCGGUCUGAGUGGCUAAGCGAAAGUGAUAAGUAACCCACCUGGGGAGUACGUUCGCAAGAAUGAAACUCAAAGGAAUUGACGGGGGCCCGCACAAGCGGUGGAGCAUGUGGUUUAAUUCGAUGAUACGCGAGGAACCUUACCUAGGCUCUAAUGUUAGUGAUCGAUGCUGAAAGGCAUUUUUCCUUCGGGACACGAAACAAGGUGCUGCAUGGUUGUCGUCAGCUCGUGCCGUGAGGUGUCAGGUUAAGUCCUAUAACGAGCGCAACCCCUGUCGUUAGUUGCCAGCGAGUCAUGUCGGGGACUCUAACGAGACUGCCGGUGCAAACCGUGAGGAAGGUGGGGAUGACGUCAAAUCAUCACGGCCCUUACGUCCUGGGCCACACACGUGCUACAAUGGUAGGUACAGAGAGCAGUCAUGUCGCAAGGCAGAGCGAAUCUACAAAACCUAUCACAGUUCGGAUCGGGGU
rnacentral:rRNA from 1 species